GAGGGUAUAGCUAAGUGGUAGAGUGCAUGUUUAGCAUGCAUUAGGUCAUGGGUUCAAUCCCUAGUACCUCUG
rnacentral:tRNA from 1 species